rnacentral:sRNA from 1 species
CUUGAUCAGUAAAUAAUACACACACUCAUCAUAACGAUGUUGCGGGGUGCCGAAAGGUCGCAGUAUUGGAUGGGUGGAGGCUCAAC